GCGACGACGGGUUGCCGGCCUGAGAGGGCGACCGGCCACACUGGGACUGAGACACGGCCCAGACUCCUACGGGAGGCAGCAGUGGGGAAUAUUGCGCAAUGGGCGAAAGCCUGACGCAGCAACGCCGCGUGCGGGAUGAAGGCCUUCGGGUUGUAAACCGCUUUCAGCAGGGAAGAAGCCGCAAGGUGACGGUACCUGCAGAAGAAGCACCGGCUAACUACGUGCCAGCAGCCGCGGUAAUACGUAGGGUGCAAGCGUUGUCCGGAUUUAUUGGGCGUAAAGAGCUCGUAGGCGGU
rnacentral:rRNA from 1 species